rnacentral:rRNA from 1 species
GAUGAACGCUAGCGGCAGGCCUAACACAUGCAAGUCGAGGGGUAGCAGGAUUAAGCUUGCUUAAUUGCUGACGACCGGCGCACGGGUGCGUAACGCGUAUGCAACCUACCUUAUACUGGGGUAUAGCCCGGAGCAAUUCGGAUUAAUCCCCCGUAGUACUAAUGACUCGCAUGGUUUAUUAGUUAAAGCAUUGCGGUCUAAGAUGGGCAUGCGUCCUAUUAGCUAGAUGGUGAGGUAACGGCUCACCAUGGCUACGAUAGGUAGGGGGCCUGAGAGGGUGGUCCCCCACACUGGUACUGAGACACGGACCAGACUCCUACGGGAGGCAGCAGUGAGGAAUAUUGGUCAAUGGGCGCAAGCCUGAACCAGCCAUGCCGCGUGCAGGAAGAAUGCCCUAUGGGUUGUAAACUGCUUUUAUUUGGGAAUAAACCUCUUUACGUGUAGAGCGCUGAAGAUACCAAAUGAAUAAGCACCGGCUAACUCCGUGCCAGCCGCCGCCGUAA